ACGGACCAAGGAGUCUAACAUAUGUGCAAGUUAUGGGAUAUAAACCUAAUAGCGUAAUUAACUUGACUAAUAAUGGGAUUAGUUUUUUAGCUAUUUAUAGCUAAUUAACACAAUCCCGGGGCGUUCUAUAUAGUUAUGUAUAAUGUAUAUUUAUAUUAUUUAUGCCUCUAACUGGAACGUACCUUGAGCAUAUAUGCUGU
rnacentral:rRNA from 2 species